GAAAUGCGAUAAGUAAUGUGAAUUGCAGAAUUCAGUGAAUCAUCGAAUCUUUGAACGCACAUUGCGCCCGCCAGUAUUCUGGCGGGCAUGCCUGUCCGAGCGUCAUUUCAACCAUCAAGCCCCCGGGCUUGUGUUGGGGACCUGCGGCUGCCCGCAGGCCCUGAAAACCAGUGGCGGGCUCGCUGUCACACCGAGCGUAGUAGCAAUCACCUCGCUCAGGGCGUGCUGCGGGUUCCGGCCGUUAAACAGCCUUACAAAACCCAAGGUUGACCUCGGAUCAGGUAGGAAGAUCCGCUGAACUUAAGC
rnacentral:misc_RNA from 1 species